rnacentral:rRNA from 1 species
AGUGAACGCUGGCGGUAGGCCUAACACAUGCAAGUCGAACGGCAGCACAGUAAGAGCUUGCUCUUACGGGUGGCGAGUGGCGGACGGGUGAGGAAUACAUCGGAAUCUACUUUUUCGUGGGGGAUAACGUAGGGAAACUUACGCUAAUACCGCAUACGACCUACGGGUGAAAGCAGGGGAUCUUCGGACCUUGCGCGAUUGAAUGAGCCGAUGUCGGAUUAGCUAGUUGGCGGGGUAAAGGCCCACCAAGGCGACGAUCCGUAGCUGGUCUGAGAGGAUGAUCAGCCACACUGGAACUGAGACACGGUCCAGACUCCUACGGGAGGCAGCAGUGGGGAAUAUUGGACACUGGGCGAAAGCCUGAUCCAGCCAUACCGCGUGGGUGAAGAAGGCCUUCGGGUUGUAAAGCCCUUUUGUUGGGAAAGAAAAGCAGCAGGUUAAUACCCCGCUGUUCUGACGGUACCCAAAGAAUAAGCACCGGCUAACUUCGUG